UACGUAGGGGGCAAGCGUUGUCCGGAAUCAUUGGGCGUAAAGCGCGCGUAGGCGGCCAGAUUAGUCCGGUGUGAAAGUCAGAGGCUCAACCUUUGAAUGCCGCUGGAAACUGUCUGGCUUGAGUCCGGAAGGGGCGAGUGGAAUUCCUGGUGUAGCGGUGAAAUGCGCAGAUAUCAGGAGGAACACCAACGGCGAAGGCAGCUCGCUGGGACGGUACUGACGCUGAGACGCGAAAGCGUGGGGAGCAAACAGG
rnacentral:rRNA from 1 species